UCCAUAGGUUAAUGAGGCGAACCGGGGGAACUGAAACAUCUAAGUACCCCGAGGAAAAGAAAUCAACCGAGAUUCCCCCAGUAGCGGCGAGCGAACGGGGAGGAGCCCAGAGCCUGAAUCAGCAUGUGUGUUAGUGGAAGCGUCUGGAAAGGCGCGCGAUACAGGGUGACAGCCCCGUACACAAAAGCGCAUGUGCUGUGAGCUCGAUGAGUAGGGCGGGACACGUGGUAUCCUGUCUGAAUAUGGGGGGACCAUCCUCCAAGGCUAAAUACUCCUGACUGACCGAUAG
rnacentral:rRNA from 1 species